UACGGGGGGGGCAAGCGUUGUUCGGAAUUACUGGGCGUAAAGGGCUCGUAGGCGGCCAACUAAGUCAGACGUGAAAUCCCUCGGCUUAACCGGGGAACUGCGUCUGAUACUGGAUGGCUUGAGUUUGGGAGAGGGAUGCGGAAUUCCAGGUGUAGCGGUGAAAUGCGUAGAUAUCUGGAGGAACACCGGUGGCGAAGGCGGCAUCCUGGACCAACACUGACGCUGAGGAGCGAAAGCCAGGGGAGCAAACGAG
rnacentral:rRNA from 1 species